ACAAAGUCUCGCAGGUGAACCAAAUCAGUGUCCCACACCGACCCACUAUAUAAAAGCAGAAGAAGAAGAAGAAAAAGAAGAAGAAGAAGAAGAAGAAGAGAUCAGGAGAUUGAAGGAAUGGAGGUGUCUCCUGCGAAGGUGGUGGUGACGACUGAGAGCACCAUAGUAACUUAUUAUUCUUAUUUCCCUUGCAAUUGCCUUGUACAAGCUUUAGCCGCAUUUCUUAAGUGCCUGGGUUUGGACUCUUCCUCUGACGACUCUCCUCCACAACAAGGAAAGAAAUCUGAUGUUCAAACAGUAUUGGAUCCUCCAACAACAGAACAAAUUGAUCGAGAUCUAACAUCCACGUCCACAAGGAGACGGAAAGCUAAAUCGCCAAAAAUAAACCGUGGGAGAGGUGGCCAGAUCAACUAGUAGAACCAACCAGCUUUUCUUGUUUUCUGCUUAGCUCUGUAAGGAAACAACUUCAGUAAAUCUAGACUCGUAGCAUCCUUCUAUGUGUAUGUUUAUGUCUCUCUCGAUCUGGCACCUGGUUCUAGGGGUGCGGGUGCGCAGAGAACAGAGAGAGCUAUUACCACAUGUACAGUAGUUUAAGACUUUAAGAAGUGUGUAAGUAUAUAUGUAUGGAUAUGUGGUAUUAUUGGAAAUGGAAGAGCUAAGCAGAUAAAUACAAAAUCUAUUUUAUACAA